AUUGAACGCUGGCGGCAUGCCUUACACAUGCAAGUCGAACGGCAGCACGGGUGCUUGCACCUGGUGGCGAGUGGCGAACGGGUGAGUAAUACAUCGGAACAUGUCCUGUAGUGGGGGAUAGCCCGGCGAAAGCCGGAUUAAUACCGCAUACGAUCUACGGAUGACAGCGGGGGACCUUCGGGCCUCGCGCUAUAGGGUUGGCCGAUGGCUGAUUAGCUAGUUGGUGGGGUAAAGGCCUACCAAGGCGACGAUCAGUAGCUGGUCUGAGAGGACGACCAGCCACACUGGGACUGAGACACGGCCCAGACUCCUACGGGAGGCAGCAGUGGGGAAUUUUGGACAAUGGGCGAAAGCCUGAUCCAGCAAUGCCGCGUGUGUGAAGAAGGCCUUCGGGUUGUAAAGCACUUUUGUCCGGAAAGAAAUCCUUGGCCCUAAUACGGUCGGGGGAUGACGGUACCGGAAGAAUAAGCACCGGCUAACUACGU
rnacentral:rRNA from 1 species